AGUGAACGCUGGCGGUAGACCUAACACAUGCAAGUCGAACGGCAGCACAGUAAGAGCUUGCUCUUACGGGUGGCGAGUGGCGGACGGGUGAGGAAUACAUCGGAAUCUACUUUUUCGUGGGGGAUACGUAGGGAAACUUACGCUAAUACCGCAUACGACCUACGGGUGAAAGCAGGGGAUCUUCGGACCUUGCGCGAUUGAAUGAGCCGAUGUCGGAUUAGCUAGUUGGCGGGGUAAAGGCCCACCAAGGCGACGAUCCGUAGCUGGUCUGAGAGGAUGAUCAGCCACACUGGAACUGAGACACGGUCCAGACUCCUACGGGAGGCAGCAGUGGGGAAUAUUGGACAAUGGGCGCAAGCCUGAUCCAGCCAUACCGCGUGGGUGAAGAAGGCCUUCGGGUUGUAAAGCCCUUUUGUUGGGAAAGAAAAGCAGCAGGUUAAUACCCCGCUGUUCUGACGGUACCCAAAGAAUAAGCACCGGCUAACCUCGUG
rnacentral:rRNA from 1 species